rnacentral:misc_RNA from 1 species
AUAUAUAUAUAUCUAUAUAUAUAUAUUGGAAUUUUAAAUGAGCUACAUAAUAGGGGGUUAGCUCUCUCUCAACCUCAUGAGAUGCAUUAAAAUUUUCUGGAAACAUGCAUCCAAAGAACUAGCCAUGAACAUGGGAUUCAUUUGGCACUUUUAGAGCACAAAAAUUUUUCACAAUGUGAUGUGUUUUAGUCAUGCUUGUGUCUGAAAACAGGCAUUUCAUGCCUUAUGGUUUGUGGGAUGAUUUGCUUAUUGAAAUUAGUAGACAAAGACGGCAAGUAUCUUAAGCAGUUAUCUCAAGGUGUUGAGGGAAGGUAGAGUUUGGGGCCAAGGGACAGUGGACAUUCAACAGUAUUUCGAAUGUGUUGCCAUCGAAGCAAGGUUGUCUGUCUGUUCUCUUGAUUUAAUACAUGUGAAGAAAAAUACCCAUGCUGAAAUUGUUUGAUUAUCAUAGUCAGAAGAUGAGAUUGAAAUCAGCCAAAAUUACUUUAGGUGUUAAUCAUAUUUCAGCCGUUCAUGAGAUGCCUCACCUACCUUAAUGUUCCCUAUUUUAACACAAGCCAUGAUCCUAAUUCUGUUUAAAGUAUUUGUUUAUGUGAGCCUUGCUUCAAUUUGCUCCAUUUUUCUUUCAAGUUUUACUGGAAUUAAAAUGCCUUUGGUAUAUUUUAGUUUCUCAAUACGUGUUCUGGUGAUUUCUGACAUUUCUAUUUGUCAUUGAUUUAUGAUUGUUGUGCAACAGAUGGUCAAAAUUAUGAUCUCUUUGAAGUACUUAAUAAAAAGCUAUUGUAUUAGUUCGUAUCAAGGACCAUAUCAGUGACUUUUUCUUUAUGAUGUCUCUAAUUUAUAAUUUGUCUAUCAUUUAAUAACUAACUUUGGUCUGCAUGGCCUCUACGUAUCUUUCAGAGUGGAAAAGCUUGUUUGGGUG